rnacentral:rRNA from 1 species
AUGUCUUCCUCCUCCGGCGCCUCCCAAACCAGCCUCAGUGGCCAGGUUACCGAGAAGCUGACGCGCACAAACUAUGUGCUAUGGCGCACGCAAGUCAUUCCCCAGCUGCGUGGCGCCGGUGUCUUCGGCUAUGUCGACGGCACUCAGCCGGAGCCGGCGAGACUCCUCGUCACCACCAAGGACAGCAAGGAGACUUCAUCGCCCAACCCUCUCCACCCAACCUGGGCCAGGGAGGAUCAG